GCGAGGCGAGGCGGGGCGCGGCGGCGGGGCGAGGCCUUGGGCGGCUUCUGUGCUGGAGCAGGAGGUUCGUGGCGGGGUUUACCUCAGGUGAAUGAAACCUCCCGAGACCCCCGGGGGAGCGUUACCAGCUUUAUUCUACAGAAGUGCUGCAGUUUGCUGGAGCCCACGGACAGGGAGCCCUGGUAAAGCUGAUGGAUGUGCCCAGUGGUCACUGCUGCCUGAUGCUGGGUUUAAUUUUUGACAAACUGGGAAGGAUUUUCAUCGGUGAAAGUGAUAGAAACACCUAUGGAUAUAGUGUUAGCCCUGGGUCUAACACGACUGUUGUCCUUAUACAUCUGCCAGACUUUCAUCCUCGAGGCAAUGUUGAUGCUGUUCUGACUGCGGAAGCUCUACUCUUGCACAGGACAAGAUCGAAUCUGCUACUGCCGUUCUGAUGGUGUCCACCUGCAGCCGUCUGUGGUGGCUUUCAAACAUGGGCACAACAUGGAAAGUGGCAGUUUCUCCCCAUUUUGUGUAUAGCAGUUUCUAAAGCUGUUUUAAAGAGUCUUGCUACUAAAUUCAUUUAAUUUCUCUCCAUUGAAGGGGAGUCUGAUUGAUUCCGUCUGAGUAUCCUCCAUGAUCAAAAGUGGGAUGAAACAGGAAUCUUACCACCCUUAGAAAACAGCUCCAUGUAGAAGGUGUGUAGCUGUUUACGUACCCGUGUGCAAAGUGUAAUUUAUCUUCAGCACUGGAGGGGAAGUUAGGGAGAGCUGAUGAAUUUUCCUGUAUAUCUACAGUCUGUUCUGAAAGAGGAACCCAAGAACAUGAUAAGCUCCAUUCACUACCUUGAAUUUUUUAAGUUGUUCUUCUUGGAUCAACUUAGUUGUUAAGAAAAAUAAUCGUAUCUCAUUUUCCACUUGCUCUUUUAUUGCUGCAAUUCAUAUCUGUAUAUUACCUUACCUGUGUGCCCUGAUGGGAUUGUUUCUAAUUUGUUCAAAUUCAGAACAGUUUCUAUUUGCUCUCACUAUGAUCAAGGCGGGCUCAUGCAAACCUGUGCUCUUCUAAUCAGUUUUAUUAGAUAGGAUUGCUGAUUAGGAGUCUUUAUAUUUGUCUUCCAGACCGAUUUAUAAAAUGAAUUCUGACAAUGGCUUUUUGAAGCUCCUCAUUCUAAUACAGGUAAUAUUCAGGUUCAUAAUAGGAAGUUUAUUGACAAAUAUAUUUCCAGAAAAUGAAAACUGCAAACUUACUGGAACAAUGAGUACACAAUGUACUCUUUAGUUAUGAACAGACGGUACUUUAAACAACAGACAAUUAAACAUGAUGAUGAUCUCUUGGUUUAUGACACUGGACUAAAUCUACUAAGUUCAGGCGCUGGAAUUGCUCCUGGUUCACAGUGGUGUGAGAGAAGGAGACGCUGUGUUAUAAACCAGUACAGCUCAUACUGCCUCGCUACUUGCAUUACGCAAGGCCUUUUUUGUUUAUCCUCUAUUUAUUCAUUACAGGCGGAUCUAUUUCAAACCCUCUUUUGGGCUUCGAAACUGCUCUUUUGGACAAUUUCACAUCCCAGUCCAGCUCAGAUAAAGGAUUGCAAACCCACGUGCAGGAGAGAUGGAAACCUCCCAGUGGGCAGCACUGGGGCCAGUUUCAGUGGAUUCACAACAGGGCAAGGGCUGUCCGAGAGGUUUAAAUUGCCACAUUCCUCAAACAUCUAGGAAGACAAGACAAUAAGAAUAUUUCUAAGCCCUGUUAAGAGGUAGUAUUAAUAUCUAUGGUAUGUCAUAAUAUAAGAAACUACUUCUGUCACCAAACCCAAACAUCCCUGUCACCGAACAUUUUAAUUUUCAGUUUGGAACAACAAUUGCUAUUUACGUUGCAAAAUAUCACUGAUCAUUGAAGAAAAUGUGAUUUUAGAACUUUGUGACCUGUUACAACGAGAGGGCAGCCGAAGGGAAAAGCUUUUCAUUAUGACUAUUACUGCAUUGUGAAUCUGAAUUCUUUCCUCAAUUUACUGUUCAGUUGAGUCUUCUGCCAAGAGAUACUAUAUUAGAAUUGUUUUUCUCUUUAGACGGUUAAUGAAAGGUUAUAAUUAAGAUAAGUGGGAUCAAGCAUCAGAUCUCAAAUUGAUGUUGUUUGAUGGGAGCAGCUGUCUUUUUGCUGCUUUAUAAGCUCUGUUGGUGUCAACAACUGGAAACCUGAAUGUUCUUCAGAAUCAUCAUUAGUUUUUUGUGCAUUUGCAUUCAGCCUCAGAACAAAAUCUCUCUGUAUCCUCGUGGCUUGACCCAGUGGUCACGUAGACUUCAGAGCUCGCAUAACUUACGAAUUCAGGUCAUCUUAGGGAAUGGGGGACAACCAAAGAUUAAUGCAGGCUAUUUACUGGUCUUCUUGGUACACUCUGACAGUUUCUUCCUUUCAAAAUUCAGCAAAACUUUACAAGUAAAUAAACAUGGCUCUAAUUUUGUAAUGUAAAAGUGGUUUUCUUUUAAGAAUGGUCAAGGAGUUAAGUGAAUUAGAUCCACCUUGCCUCCUGCGACACCGCUCCUCUCCUGGCUGAGGAGUUAGCACUAACACCAAUUACCUGCCUUUGGAUUUAUUGCUACUUGGCCCUUCUGUGAUAUUCCUGCACACGACGGAGCAGAGGAGUAACGCUUUCCAGCCUGAAUGCUUUAGUUCUCUGAUCUUUUCACUCAUUACCACUCUCCCACUCUGAGGACCGUCAACUGUUAAAUCAACCCAGACUGAAGAUUUUUUGAAGCAUACCCUGUUACAUGUCUUCAGUCUCCACCCACCGUGACUACCGUAUGUUCAGUUAAUAUGUUUUUUCACUGAUUUUAAGUGAUGAGACUGAAGUGCAAAAGGUAAUCUGGGGUACAAAUUCAAAUGCCUAGUUUACUGCAGUAUGAUCUGGAAUUGUAUGCUGGUUUAUAUUCUUGCUGGAAUAGAUUUUAGUCAGGCAGUUUGGGCUCGGAUUCAAAUUUCUCUAUUGUCAGAAACAAUCUGAUGUUAGUCCUCAGGCUUACCUCUACCUCUAGGAAGAAAU